rnacentral:rRNA from 1 species
UACAGAGGGGGCUAGCGUUGUUCGGAAUUACUGGGCGUAAAGGGCGCGUAGGUGGCCUGUUAAGUCGAACGUGAAAUCCCCGGGCUCAACCCGGGAACUGCGUCCGAGACUGGCAGGCUCGAAUCCGGGAGAGGGAUGUGGAAUUCCAGGUGUAGCGGUGAAAUGCGUAGAUAUCAGGAGGAACACCGGUGGCGAAGGCGGGAUCCUGGGCCAGUACUGACGCUGAGGAGCGAAAGCGUGGGGAGCAAACAGG